rnacentral:rRNA from 1 species
CGAACGGGGAGAUUCAUCGUCAGCGGACGCCGGCUUCGCGUCGGUCGGCGAUGUCCCGCGGGGGCCCUCGCGGCUCUCAGCGCGGGCACGCUGCCGUGCGCCGAUGUAUCCGGCUUCGCCGUCGUGCACUUCUCCCCUGGUAGAACGUCGCGACCCGCUGGGUGUCGGUCUACGGCCCGGGUGCGGUGUCUGACGCGCCGCCGGUAAAACGGCGCGCGUCAAACCCCCGGUCGCCCGGCCGGCUGCCCGGCGGUACGCGCAAGGUAUCAGGCCGCACGCCCCCGUGGUGCGUCGAGGCCGUCGCAAGCGCGCGCCACGGUACACGGAGGUACGGACCUAGCGCCGUCACCGGUCCUGGCCCGCUGUUGGUCGUACGGUUAACCUUCGACAGGCCUACGAACGUCACGGCGCGUCGCGCGCGGGGGUCUCCGAUUUCCGCGCGCUCGCGUCGGCGACCGAUACCGGUCAGCGACGCUACUGCUUUGGGU